rnacentral:rRNA from 1 species
GACGAACGCUGGCGGCGUGCUUAACACAUGCCAGUCGAACGGAAAGGCCCUGCUUUUGUGGGGUGCUCGAGUGGCGAACGGGUGAGUAACACGUGAGUAACCUGCCCUUGACUUUGGGAUAACAUCAGGAAACUGGGGCUAAUACCGGAUAGGAGCUCCUGCUGCAUGGUGGGGGUUGGAAAGUUUCGGCGGUUGGGGAUGGACUCGCGGCUUAUCAGCUUGUUGGUGGGGUAGUGGCUUACCAAGGCUUUGACGGGUAGCCGGCCUGAGAGGGUGACCGGCCACAUUGGGACUGAGAUACGGCCCAGACUCCUACGGGAGGCAGCAGUGGGGAAUAUUGCACAAUGGGCGGAAGCCUGAUGCAGCAACGCCGCGUGCGGGAUGACGGCCUUCGGGUUGUAAACCGCUUUCGCCUGUGACGAAGCGUGAGUGACGGUAAUGGGUAAAGAAGCACCGGCUAACUACGUG